CUCAGUCCACACCCCAUCGCAUGGCUUCCUAGGGAAUUCCUACUUUAUUCCUGGUCUCUGAAUCCUUCCACUUGGCCACUCAAGAGCUCUGACUCAUUCCUGAGCUUGGUCCCACCUGGCCCUUCAAAAGCCUCUGCCUGACAGCACUGCCUAAGUUAAAGAAAGUUCUGGAACUUUAGAAUGACAGGACUUUGAAAGCAAGGCCUUGGUGCCAGUACUUAGUCCUACGCUCUCUGUUGGAUUCAGUCAGGGCUGUAGUUUAUCCUCAUUGGACUCUAGAGAAAAGGGUGCCUACCAAGACAUAUUUCUCACAACCAGGUUGUCACUUCUUGACAUUGGGUGGCACCAUUCACGGACCAUGGAUCUGGGUUUAUUUUCUUAAGCCACUUUCUGUUUCUCCCUUGGGAUCCACCUUGUGAGCUUGGAGCCAAAGAAACCAUUUCUUCAUGUAAUAGAUGUGAUGAAUUGAUUUCAGGUUUAUUCUCAGAUGUUCCAAGAUCCUGGUCUAGUUUGGUUACCCUCCUAAGAGCAUUCAAAUUAUCUUCAUGGGUGGUAAGUAUCACCCAUCACCAGAAAAUAAUAAGUAUCAUGUAUCCCAUGACCCUUGGAAUCUGCUACUGUCAAGGUGGCAUAUCCAAAGUGCACAAUCUUAGUUGAUUCAUUAGCGAUUGACAGUUAGGUGACAAUUAGUGAUUAACACUAAAUCCUAAAGGUUGGAUAUCCCUGUCCUAAAAACAUUGAUAAUAAAAAUGAAUAUUUGUUCAGCAUGAAUAUCCUAAGAAUCUAAAGUACCAAGAAAGGUGGCAUAAAACAGAGGAAGGAUCCUGGAGGAAAUGAAAUGGAAGAGACCCAGAGAGUCAUCGCACAGAAAAAGCCUGGGAUAGAUGAGCAAUGAUGGAUCUAGAUAGCAGACACCACUCCAGGGAGAUACCAGCCUCAACUCACUUUUAUUCUGGGGUGGGCAGUAAAGUCAGUAGCUGCAGAGAUGGAAGUUCUGACAAUCUAUCCAAUGUCAGAGGCAAAGAAGGACCAACAGGUUGGAAUCAUGCAGAUCUAUUUCCCAGAAGCCAAGCCUUCAUGGAUUGCUGAAGUUGAUGAGGUCCACGGAUUUUACCUGGGCAGGGUGAGGAUAAGGAAUGACUGGGGAAAGACAAG
rnacentral:lncRNA from 1 species